CGAGUGUGGGAUGCUGAGGUCUAGACUCCUUUCGAUGCUUGUAUGCUACUCCCAGGAAUGCCAACAGGAGUUCCAUGGAUGCAUCGAGCAGAGACUAUACCACUGACACCACAGCACGGA
rnacentral:precursor_RNA from 12 species